rnacentral:rRNA from 1 species
GAGAGUUUGAUCCUGGCUCAGAUUGAACGCUGGCGGCAUGCUUUACACAUGCAAGUCGAACGGCAGCACGGGCUUCGGCCUGGUGGCGAGUGGCGAACGGGUGAGUAAUACAUCGGAACGUACCCAGAAGUGGGGGAUAACGUAGCGAAAGUUACGCUAAUACCGCAUACGUUCUACGGAAGAAAGUGGGGGAUCGCAAGACCUCAUGCUUUUGGAGCGGCCGGUGUCUGAUUAGCUAGUUGGUGAGGUAAAAGCUCACCAAGGCGACGAUCAGUAGCUGGUCUGAGAGGACGACCAGCCACACUGGAACUGAGACACGGUCCAGACUCCUACGGGAGGCAGCAGUGGGGAAUUUUGGACAAUGGGCGCAAGCCUGAUCCAGCAAUGCCGCGUGAGUGAAGAAGGCCUUCGGGUUGUAAAGCUCUUUUGUCAGGGAAGAAACGGUAGAGGCUAAUAUCCUUUGCUAAUGACGGUACCUGAAGAAUAAGCACCGGCUAACUACGUGCCAGCAGCCGCGGUAAUACGUAGGGUGCAAGCGUUAAUCGGAAUUACUGGGCGUAAAGCGUGCGCAGGCGGUUUUGUAAGUCUGACGUGAAAGCCCCGGGCUCAACCUGGGAAUUGCGUUGGAGACUGCAAGGCUUGAAUCUGGCAGAGGGGGGUAGAAUUCCACGUGUAGCAGUGAAAUGCGUAGAGAUGUGGAGGAACACCGAUGGCGAAAGCAGCCCCCUGGGUCAAGAUUGACGCUCAUGCACGAAAGCGUGGGGAGCAAACAGGAUUAGAUACCCUGGUAGUCCACGCCCUAAACGAUGUCUACUAGUUUGUCNGGUUUUUAAUUUAACUUUGGUAACGCAGCUUAACGCGUUG